UGUUGAGGAAAUUUCUGCAGUUUUAAGCAGUCGUAUUUGUGAUUGAAGCUGAGUACAUUUUGCUGGUGUAUUUUUAGGUAAAAUGCUUUUUGUUCAUUUCUGGUGGUGGGAGGGGACUGAAGCCUUUAGUCUUUUCCAGAUGCAACCUUAAAAUCAGUGACAAGAAACAUUCCAAACAAGCAACAGUCUUCAAGAAAUUAAACUGGCAAGUGGAAAUGUUUAAACAGUUCAGUGAUCUUUAGUGCAUUGUUUAUGUGUGGGUUUCUCUCUCCCCUCCCUUGGUCUUAAUUCUUACAUGCAGGAACACUCAGCAGACACACGUAUGCGAAGGGCCAGAGAAGCCAGACCCAGUAAGAAAAAAUAGCCUAUUUACUUUAAAUAAACCAAACAUUCCAUUUUAAAUGUGGGGAUUGGGAACCACUAGUUCUUUCAGAUGGUAUUCUUCAGACUAUAGAAGGAGCUUCCAGUUGAAUUCACCAGUGGACAAAAUGAGGAAAACAGGUAAUAGCCUGCAGCUGGUGUUUUGAGAAGCCCUACUGCUGAAAACUUAACAAUUUUGUGUAAUAAAAAUGGAGAAGCUCUAA
rnacentral:lncRNA from 1 species